rnacentral:lncRNA from 1 species
GUUUCCCCUGUGUCCUGUCUAUAGGCUGAACCAUAAUGGGAUUAGGGCUUCUACUGGGUAAAGAUGUGUAUUCUGACUUUCCCAUCUGGAGACAUUCCUAGUCUGUAGCCUCUCUGAUAUACUUUGUAUUACAAUGACAUGGGAGCUUUGAAACAGAAGGAAUGCAGGGGCAAAGUGAGGGACAUGCAGAGAGGUGCAGGAGGCAACCCAGCCUUCCCAUGCAAUCAACAAAAGGGCAGAGGUAAGUUGAGAUGGAGAGAAAAAAAAAAAAAGAAAAAAACACGCUACUGGAAGUUCACACACACUCUUGUGUGUGCAGGAAGUCUAGGUCAACAGAGGGGUAGUGCAACCUAGGAUACAGUGUAGACUAGACAGCCAGGGACUGGACAAAAAUCCACUUCUCAGAGAAUGCCAGUCUAGAACAUAGCAAUGACCAAGAAUUAGAUGAUUGAUGUGUUUUCACCAAUGUCUGGCUGUCUCAUCAUAUCCUCAUGGGAAAAAAGAACUCUCUCUGGGAAGGCAGGAAUGCCAUUGUUUAUGAUGCCAGAUGAUCCAAAAACUAUGCAAAGCUUCAUUCAUCCUUCACAAAAGCCAAACAACCAGAAUAAUGACUGGCAAGAAGCAUGGUUUUAAUAAUCCAG